rnacentral:rRNA from 1 species
GAUGAACGCUAGCGGCAGGCUUAAUACAUGCAAGUCAAGGGGGUAGCAAUACAACCGGCGCACGGGUGAGUAACGCGUACACAACAUACCAUAUACUGGAGUAUAGCUUUGGGAAACUGAAGGUAAUCCUCCAUAACAUUGCGAGAGGGCAUCUGAUUGCAAUUAAAGUUUCGGCGGUAUAUGAUUGGUGUGCGUUUGAUUAGCUAGUUGGUAGGGUAACGGCCUACCAAGGCGACGAUCAAUAGCUGGCGUGAGAGCGCGACCAGCCACACUGGAACUGAGACACGGUCCAGACUCCUACGGGAGGCAGCAGUAGGGAAUAUUGGACAAUGGAGGAAACUCUGAUCCAGCCAUGCCGCGUGAUAGAUGAAGGCCCUCUGGGUUGUAAAUAUCUUUUAUCUGGGGAAGAAACACUCCUAUUCUUAGGAACUUGACGGUACCAGAGGAAUAAGCACCGGCUAACUCCGUGCCAGCAGCCGCGGU